rnacentral:rRNA from 1 species
CUGAAUAUAUCAUGCUGAUCGUAUGGUCUUGUACCGACGACAUGUCAUUCAAGUGUCUGAUCUAUCAACUUUCUAUAUAAGUAUAUAGUACUUAUAUGGUUUUGACGGAUAACGGGGUAUUAGGGUACGACUCCGGAGAAAAUGCCUGAUAAACGGCGUUUACGUCCAAGGAAGGUGGCAGGCGCGGAGGUACCCACUCUCAGUACGAGGAGGUAGUGACGAGAAUUGACGAGAUCUAUUCCUUCGGGGAUGGAUCAUUGGAAUGGUUUGAUUUUAAAAUCAUUACAGAGUAUCAAUGAGAGGGCAAGUCUGGUGCCAGCAGCCGCG